GAUGAAGAACGCAGCAGAAUGCGAUAAGUAAUGUGAAUUGCAGAAUUCAGUGAAUCAUCGAAUCUUUGAACGCACAUUGCGCCCGCUGGUAUUCCGGCGGGCAUGCCUGUUCGAGCGUCAUUUCAACCCUCAAGCCCCCGGGUUUGGUGUUGGGGAUCGGCUCUGCCCUUCUGGGCGGUGCCGCCCCCGAAAUACAUUGGCGGUCUCGCUGCAGCCUCCAUUGCGUAGUAGCUAACACCUCGCAACUGGAACGCGGCGCGGCCAUGCCGUAAAACCCCAACUUCUGAAUGUUGACCUCGGAUCAGGUAGGAAUACCCGCUGAACUUAAGCAUAUCAAUAAGCGGAGGA
rnacentral:misc_RNA from 1 species